rnacentral:lncRNA from 1 species
AGAAGGCUUCGCAGGGGAGUUGGGACUUCUUCAGCUUCAGUGUGAUACAGGCAAAUGGAAAGAUAGUUCAGGCCGUGGAAGCAGUGUCUAUGGUGCACUUGGUGACAAGGGAGAGACCAAACAGGAUCCAGGAGGGCUAGAGCGUCCAGAAGUAGAAAUACAGAACAAAACCAUGACCAAAGGGAUGAAAGACAAAUCACAAAAUGCUAGGCUGCAACCAAUCAAAAACAGAGAUUUGCGGAGAAGUGAACACUCCCAGGAGUUAACAAA